AGCGAACGCUGGCGGCAGGCUUAACACAUGCAAGUCGAGCGGGCACUUCGGUGUCAGCGGCAGACGGGUGAGUAACACGUGGGAACGUACCCUUCGGUUCGGAAUAACGCUGGGAAACUAGCGCUAAUACCGGAUACGCCCUUUUGGGGAAAGGUUUACUGCCGAAGGAUCGGCCCGCGUCUGAUUAGCUAGUUGGUGGGGUAAUGGCCUACCAAGGCGACGAUCAGUAGCUGGUCUGAGAGGAUGAUCAGCCACACUGGGACUGAGACACGGCCCAGACCCCCAGGGGGGGCAGAAGGGGGGAAAAUGGGACAGGGGGCGCAAGCCUGGACCAGCCAGGCCGGGGGGGUGAUGAAGGCCUUAGGGUUGAAAAGCUCUUUUGUCCGGGACGAAAAGGACGGGACCGGAAAAAAAAGCCCCGGCUAAUUUGGU
rnacentral:rRNA from 1 species